rnacentral:rRNA from 1 species
UACGGAGGGGGCUAGCAUUGUUCGGAAUUACUGGGCGUAAAGCGCACGUAGGCGGCUUUGUAAGUUAGAGGUGAAAGCCCCAGGGCUUAACCCUGGAAUUGCCUUUAAGACUGCAUCGCUAGAAUCGUGGAGAGGUGAGUGGAAUUCCGAGUGUAGAGGUGAAAUUCGUAGAUAUUCGGAAGAACACCAGUGGCGAAGGCGACUCACUGGACACGUAUUGACGCUGAGGUGCGAAAGCGUGGGGAGCAAACAGG